GACGAACGCUGGCGGCGUGCUUAACACAUGCAAGUCGAGCGGUAAGGCCCCCUUCGGGGGGUACACGAGCGGCGAACGGGUGAGUAACACGUGAGCAACCUACCCUCAACUUCGGGAUAAGCCUCGGAAACGGGGUCUAAUACCGGAUAUCACUUUCCACCUCAUGGUGGGGGGUUGAAAGUUCUGGCGGUUGGGGAUGGGCUCGCGGCCUAUCAGCUUGUUGGUGGGGUAAUGGCCUACCAAGGCGUCGACGGGUAGCCGGCCUGAGAGGGCGACCGGCCACACUGGGACUGAGACACGGCCCAGACUCCUACGGGAGGCAGCAGUGGGGAAUAUUGCGCAAUGGACGAAAGUCUGACGCAGCAACGCCGCGUGAGGGAUGACGGCCUUCGGUU
rnacentral:rRNA from 1 species